rnacentral:rRNA from 1 species
CACGGACCAAGGAGUCUAACAUGUGCGCGAGUCACUGGGCUCUACGAAACCCGAAGGCGGAAUGAAAGUGAAGGUCCGUCGCCCCCCCAAAGGGGCGGCGGACUCGGGUAGGAUCCUGGGCCUCGGCGUCCAGGCGCACUACCGGCCCCUCCGGGUGCUCCACCACGGUGGCCCCAGGGGGAGCGAGAGCGUACACGUUGGGACCCGAAAGAUGGUGAACUAUGCCUGAGCAGGUUGAAGCCAGGGGAAACCCUGGUGGAGGACCGUAGCGAUUCUGACGUGCAAAUCGAUCGUCCGACUUGGGUAUAGGGGCGAAAGACUAAUCGAACCAUCUAGUAGCUGGUUCCCUCCGAAGUUUCCCUCAGGAUAGCAGGCGCUCGAGGGACGGUUUUAUCCGGUAAAGCGAAUGAUUAGAGGCAUUGGGGUCGAAACGUCCUCAACCUAUUCUCAAACUUUAAAUGGGUAAGAAGGCCCCCUCGCCCGAACGGAGGGGAGCCCCUUGAUUCAGAACGUGAGUGCCUAGUGGGCCACUCUUGGUAAGCAGGACUGGCGCUGUGGGAUGAACCAAACGCCCGGUUAAGGUGCCUAACGCUGACGCUAAUGAGAUCCCAUAAAAGGUGUUGGUAGAUACAGACAGCAGGACGGUGGCCACGGAAGUGGGAACCCGCUAAGGAGUGUGUAACAACUCA